GAAGUCAGCACAUAACAACUGUGAGUUCACUUUCCAGAGACGUAUUUCAUUUUAUUAUCAGAGCGUGUCAGUGGACUUCUGGUAAGUAACUUCAGUGAGAGAGUGUUGGGAUCAGGUACAACUAUAUUUACCCACCCCCAAAAUGAAUAUUUAUGAGCAAGUCUCCCCCAGUGAGAGAGUGUUGGGACCAGGUACAACUAUAUUUACCCGCCCCCAAAAUGAAUAUUUAUGAGCAAGUCUCCCCCAGUGAGAGAGUGUUGGGACCAGGUACAACUAUAUUUACCCGCCCCCAAAAUGAAUAUUUAUGAGCAAGUCUCCCCCAGUGAGAGAGUGUUGGGAUCAGGUACAACUAUAUUUACCCGCCCCCAAAAUGAAUAUUUAUGAGCAAGUCUCCCCCAGUGAGAGAGUGUUGGGACCAGGUACAACUAUAUUUACCCGCCCCCAAAAUGAAUAUUUAUGAGCAAGUCUCCCCCAGUGAGAGAGUGUUGGGACCAGGUACAACUAUAUUUACCCGCCCCCAAAAUGAAUAUUUAUGAGCAAGUCUCCCCCAGUGAGAGAGUGUUGGGACCAGGUACAACUAUAUUUACCCGCCCCCAAAAUGAAUAUUUAUGAGCAAGUCUCCCCCAGUGAGAGAGUGUUGGGACCAGGUACAACUAUAUUUACCCACCCCCAAAAUGAAUAUUUAUGAGCAAGUCUCCCCCAGUGAGAGAGUGUUGGGUGGGACCAGGUACAACUAUAUUUACCCGCCCCCAAAAUGAAUAUUUAUGAGCAAGUCUCCCCCAGUGAGAGAGUGUUGGGACCAGGUACAACUAUAUUUACCCGCCCCCAAAAUGAAUAUUUAUGAGCAAGUCUCCCCCAGUGAGAGAGUGUUGGGAUCAGGUACAACUAUAUUUACCCGCCCCCAAAAUGAAUAUUUAUGAGCAAAGUCUCCCCUAGUGAGAGAGUGUUGGGACCAGGUACAACUAUAUUUACCCGCCCCCAAAAUGAAUAUUUAUGAGCAAGUCUCCCCCAGUGAGAGAGUGUUGGGAUCAGGUACAACUACAUUUACCCGCCCCCAAAAUGAAUAUUUAUGAGCAAAGUCUCCCCUAGUGAGAGAGUGUUGGGAUCAGGUACAACUACAUUUACCCGCCCCCAAAAUGAAUAUUUAUGAGCAAAGUCUCCCCUAGUGAGAGAGUGUUGGGAUCAGGUACAACUACA